rnacentral:rRNA from 1 species
GGGGAAUAUUGGACAAUGGGCGCAAGCCUGAUCCAGCCAUGCCGCGUGAGUGAUGAAGGCCUUAGGGUUGUAAAGCUCUUUCGUCAGGGACGAUAAUGACGGUACCUGAAGAAGAAGCCCCGGCUAACUUCGUGCCAGCAGCCGCGGUAAUACGAAGGGGGCUAGCGUUGUUCGGAUUUACUGGGCGUAAAGGGUGCGUAGGCGGAUUUUUAAGUCAGGGGUGAAAUCCCAAGGCUCAACCUUGGAACUGCCUUUGAUACUGGGGAUCUUGAGUCCGGGAGAGGUGAGUGGAACUGCGAGUGUAGAGGUGAAAUUCGUAGAUAUUCGCAAGAACACCAGUGGCGAAGGCGGCUCACUGGCCCGGAACUGACGCUGAGGCACGAAAGCGUGGGGAGCAAAC